UACGUAGGUGGCAAGCGUUAUCCGGAUUUACUGGGUGUAAAGGGCGUGUAGGCGGUUUUGCAAGUCAGAUGUGAAAUCUCCGGGCUUAACCCGGAAACUGCAUCUGAAACUGCAGAACUUGAGUACUGGAGAGGAUAGUGGAAUUCCUAGUGUAGCGGUAAAAUGCGUAGAUAUUAGGAGGAACACCAGUGGCGAAGGCGACUAUCUGGACAGUAACUGACGCUGAGGCGCGAAAGCGUGGGGAGCAAACAGGAUUAGAUACCCUGGUA
rnacentral:rRNA from 1 species